rnacentral:lncRNA from 8 species
CAAAACAAGACUUCUUUAUGUAUUUUUAUUUAUUUUCUGUCGUUUUUCUGCAGCUCUCUUUGUCAUUUGAUCAAGUGCCAGCGGUUGUGGAAAAAAGUUCAGCGGGGCCAACAUCCCAAGAUAUCAGGGUUCAAAACAAUGGGUUGGCUGCCCAGAGCCACAGUGCUGCUUCCGAUGGGGAGAGUUCUUCGCUUAUAGUGGAGGACCCUCUCAGGAGAGUCCUGCAGCCUUAUGAGUGGCAGCUGGACUCCCCACACAGAACCAAACGGAGGCUACUGCAGACAUCCAGCAUUCUUCCUUACUCUCCUCUGAGCGUGGUUUACAACAGCAAAACAUGUAUCCUGUUUAGGGCCAGGAAGCUUGCUAUCAGGUUCAGGAACAGCACCUUAGUGGAUCUUACAGAGAAGGCCUUCGGCCCCGAUGCACCAGUGGACACCAAAGGCUCUAUGUGCAGCAAAGACAAAGCUACGCUUGUACUACGUUUCGGAGAUGUGGAGGACUUGAGAGGACUUGCAAUUAGACUACAAAUGUCCAACACAUUCUAUGAGUCGGCAGGGCAGAACUGGUUCACUCUGGACAGCGUACACAUCCACUACAACUGGACCCACGAGGCAACGUUCAACGCCACCGAUGUUUACGCUCCUAGUACCCACUCCUACCACUGUCAGCACGUCAGCAGUCUGCAGAAGUACGACACGCUGCUCGUACCCAGCUCCAUCACAGACAACUCUGCAAACUGGCACAUCACCUUCACAGACUUCCAGAUACAAUCGUUCAAUGUGCUGUCCAACAAGUUUGGCUCAGCCAGCGAUUGCGCUACGUUCUUCACCCCAGCUAUCCUCAUGGGUCUGAUCACCUCUCUAAUCCUUCUCCUGGUCCUGGCCUACGCGCUGCACAUGGUGGUGCACCUCAAACACAUCGACACCUACGAAGAACACAAGACCACCGUCUACUUCCCCCGCAGCACAGAGACUGCAGAAUGCUCCGGCACCACCAGCUCCGCUGCCACUGCUGCCACUGCUGCCACUGAAAAAAACAGCUUGUAGGACUCCGUUUCCCAGGAUCCACCUCAGUCUCCACCACUAGGAGUAUACUGUAAACUGUUUCUGUAGGUGUCAGAGAGUGACUAUGCAGGGGCUCUGACUGAGUCCUCUGAUAGCUGGC